UAAAUUUAUGUUAUUUAUUAUUUAGUAUUGCAUACUAUUAAAAGAAAAUUUUAUUAAUAAUAAAAUAUAAAAUUAAAAGGAGGAACUCACUUUAGUUUUAUUGUUUCAUAAUAAAAAUUAAGUGAGUUGGGGUUGAAAAGUCGACUUUUAAGAUAUUUGUGUAUUUUUUAAUAUUAGAAAUUUAUAUUGAGAUGAUUUUAUUUUAUAAAUUUAAAAGUUGAAGUAUUUAUUAUUUUAGUUUUAUAACUAUUUAUUUUUGAGCAAACAGUUAAGUUUAAUUUUAAAAUAUUAAUUUAUUAAUAUUUAUAUAAUUUUUAAAUUAGUAAAUUUUAAAAAUUUUGUGUUAUAAAAAAAUUUAAUAAAAGAAUUAAAAAUUUAAUCAAAUGUUUUUUAAAGACUUAGAUUUUUAAUUAAAAUUUGCUUCUGCCCGGUGAUAUUUAAAUGGCAGUCUUAGCGUGAGGACAUUAAGGUAGCAAAAUAAUUUGUGCUUUUAUUGGGUUCCAGUAUGAAUGAAGUUAUUGGUUAAUUAUUUUUUUAUUUUAUUAGAAUUUUAAUUAUAUAUAAAAAAUUAUAUUUAUAAUUAAACAAAGAUAAGUCUUCGGAAAUUCUUUUAAUUAAUAUUAUAUUUGUAGUAUUAAUUAAAAUUUUCUAGGGCAGAAUUUUAUAUAAAUUUAAUAUCUAUUAAUAAUUUAUUGAAUUACUCCGGAGUUAACAGAAAAUCAUAUCUAAUCUAGUUCUUAUAGUAAGAUAAGUUUUACAUCGAUGUUGUAUUUAAGUAAAUUAAAAAAGGAGAAGAUUUAAUGUUUAAGACUGUUCUUCUUUUAAUUAACUUAACGUGAUAUUAGUUUAAUUCAUUGUGAGAUAGAAUUGUUUAUCUUGUUAAUUAUUUUUGUUAAAUUUUAUUAGUACGAAAGGAAAAUAAUUAAAAGUUUAAAACUUUAUAAAGUGAAAGCUUUA
rnacentral:rRNA from 1 species